CCUACGGGAGGCAGCAGUGGGGAAUAUUGCACAAUGGGGGGAACCCUGAUCCAGCAACGCCGCGUGGGUGAAGAAGUACUCCGGUAUGUAAAGCCCUGUCAGCAGGGAAGAAAAUGACGGUACCUGACCAAGAAGCCCCGGCUAACUACGUGCCAGCAGCCGCGGUAAUACGUAGGGGGCAAGCGUUAUCCGGAUUUACUGGGUGUAAAGGGGGCGCAGACGGCGAUGCAAGCCAGGAGUGAAAGCCCGGGGCCCAACCCCGGGACUGCUGUUGGAACUGCGUGGCUAGAGUGCAGGAGGGGCAGGCGGAAUUCCUGGUGUAGCGGUGAAAUGCGUAGAUAUCAGGAGGAACACCGGUGGCGAAGGCGGCCUGCUGGACUGCAACUGACGUUGAGGCCCGAAAGCGUGGGGAGCAAACAGGAUUAGAUACCCUAGUAGUC
rnacentral:rRNA from 1 species